rnacentral:rRNA from 1 species
GACAGAGGGUGCAAACGUUGUUCGGAAUUACUGGGCGUAAAGCGCACGUAGGCGGCGCCGUAAGUCAGGGGUGAAAUCCCGGAGCUCAACUCCGGAACUGCCCUUGAAACUGCAGUGCUAGAAUCCUGGAGAGGCGAGUGGAAUUCCGAGUGUAGAGGUGAAAUUCGUAGAUAUUCGGAAGAACACCAGUGGCGAAGGCGACUCGCUGGACAGGUAUUGACGCUGAGGUGCGAAAGCGUGGGGAGCAAACAGG